UACGUAGGGUGCGAGCGUUGUCCGGAAUUAUUGGGCGUAAAGAGCUCGUAGGCGGUUUGUCGCGUCUGCCGUGAAAGUCCGGGGCUCAACUCCGGAUCUGCGGUGGGUACGGGCAGACUAGAGUGAUGUAGGGGAGACUGGAAUUCCUGGUGUAGCGGUGAAAUGCGCAGAUAUCAGGAGGGACACCGAUGGCGAAGGCAGGUCUCUGGGCAUUAACUGACGCUGAGGAGCGAAAGCAUGGGGAGCGAACAGG
rnacentral:rRNA from 1 species